UACGAAGGGGGCUAGCGUUGUUCGGAAUUACUGGGCGUAAAGGGCUCGUAGGCGGCCAACUAAGUCGGAUGUGAAAUCCCCAGGCUUAACCUGGGAACUGCAUCCGAUACUGGAUGGCUUGAAUCCGGGAGAGGGAUGCAGAAUUCCAGGUGUAGCGGUGAAAUGCGUAGAGAUCGGAAAGAACACCAACGGCGAAAGCACUCUGCUGGGCCGACACUGACACUGGAGAGACGAAAGCUAGGGGAGCGAAUGGG
rnacentral:rRNA from 1 species